CCUACGGGCGGCAGCAGUGGGGAAUUUUGCGCAAUGCUCGUAAGAGUGACGCAGCGACGCCGCGUGAAUGACGAAGGCCUUCGGGUCGUAAAGUUCUUUCGACAGGGAAGAAAAUGCCGAUAAGUAACUGUGUAUGUAUUGACGGUACCUGUAUAAGCAGCCCCGGCUAACUCCGUGACAGCAGCCGCGGUAAUACGGAGGGGGCGAGCGUUGUUCGGAGUGACUGGGCGUAAAGAGCACGUAGGCGGUGUUGUAAGUCAUUAGUCAAAGACUAGAGCUCAACUUUAGUAAGGCUAGUGAUACUAUAAUACUAGAGUAUCAGAGAGGAUUGCAGAAUUCCUGGUGUAGCGGUGAAAUGCGUAGAUAUCAGGAGGAAUACCGUUAGCGAAGGCGGCAAUCUAGCUGGAAACUGACGCUGAGGUGCGAAAGCGUGGGUAGCAAACAGGAUUAGAUACCCCUGUAGUC
rnacentral:rRNA from 1 species